ACGACGGUCCCUUUCUUCUUUCCUCUUCUCGUUUUCUCUCUGCAAAAGCCAGGUUGAAACCUAAUUUAUGAAACCCAAAUUCUUCUUUCAAAUUCUCAAAUUAAAUCUUUCACUUUUGUUUAAUCACAAGAUGUGAAUCUAAUUUAUGAAACCCAAAAGCCCUAACACCAUUUGUAUUUUAAGAUUGUACUCAAAUCGGGAGUAGAAAGUAAUUUUUCCAACAAUAUCAUCGUGUAAAGCCCUUCUCGGUGUUGACAAUCUCUUCGCUGGGGACAAGGUUCUUAAAUAGUGGUGACAAUGAAGGAGGAGCUUAAAGCUAAGGCACUCAAUAUUUUUCUUUUUAGUUAUAUGUAAAUGCGUACAAUGACAAUGAAGUAUUACCUAGUAUAUAUGCGGAGGAACUUGAAGCUAAGGCACUCAAUAUUUUACUUUUUGGUUAUAUGUAUAUGCGUACAAUGAUAAUAAUGUAUCACGUAGUGUAUAUGCGGAGGAGCUUGAAGCUAAGGCACUCAAUAUUUUACUUUUUGGUUAUAUGUAUAUGCGUACAAUGAUAAUAAUGUAUCACGUAGUGUAUAUGCGGAGGAGCUUGAAGCUAAGGCACUCAAUAUUUUGCAUUUUGGUUAUAUGUAUGUGCGUACAAUGAUAAUGAAGUAUUGCAUAGUAUAUAUGUAACUGAACUUUUAG